GAUGAACGCUGGCGGCGUGCCUAAUACAUGCAAGUCGAGCGAACAGACUAGGAGCUUUCUCCCUUACCGUUAGCGGCUGACGGGUGAGUAACACGUGGAUAACCUACCUCUAUGACUUGGAUAACUUCGUGAAACCGGUGCUACUACCGGAUAAUAUAUUCAACCGCAUGGUUCAAUAGUUCUUGACGGCUUUCCUGUCACUUUUAGAUGGAUCCGCGCCGCAUUAGCUAGUUGGUAAGGUAACGGCUUACCAAGGCAACGAUGCGUAGCCGACCUGAGAGGGUGAUCGGCCACACUGGAACUGAGACACGGUCCAGACUCCUACGGGAGGCAGCAGUAGGGAAUAUUCCGCAAAGGGCGAAAGCCUGACGGAGCAACGCCGCGUGAGUGAAGAAGGUCUUCGGAUCGUAAAACUCUGUUAUUAGGGAAGAACAAAUGUGGAAGUAAAUAUGCACGUCUUGACGGUACCUAAUCAGAAAGCCACGGCUAACUACGUG
rnacentral:rRNA from 1 species